UACGGGGGGGGCAAGCGGUUGUUCGGAAUUACUGGGCGUAAAGGGCUCGUAGGUGGCCAACUAAGUCAGACGUGAAAUCCCUCAGCUUAACUGGGGAACUGCGUCUGAUACUGGAUGGCUUGAGUUUGGGAGAGGGAUGCGGAAUUCCAGGUGUAGCGGUGAAAUGCGUAGAUAUCUGGAGGAACACCGGUGGCGAAGGCGGCAUCCUGGACCGGCAUUGACGCUGAGGCGCGAAAGCCAGGGGAGCAAACGGG
rnacentral:rRNA from 1 species